AGCGAACGCUGGCGGCAGGCCUAACACAUGUAAGUCGAGCGCCGUAGCAAUACGGAGCGGCAGACGGGUGAGUAACGCGUGGGAACGUGCCCUUCAGUUCGGAAUAACCCAGGGAAACUUGGGCUAAUACCGGAUACGUCCGAAAGGAGAAAGAUUUAUCGCUGAAGGAUCGGCCCGCGUAAGAUUAGCUUGUUGGUGAGGUAACGGCUCACCAAGGCGAUGAUCUUUAGCUGGUCUGAGAGGACGAUCAGCCACACUGGGACUGAGACACGGCCCAGACUCCUACGGGAGGCAGCAGUGGGGAAUAUUGGACAAUGGGCGCAAGCCUGAUCCAGCCAUGCCGCGUGAGUGAUGAAGGCCUUAGGGUUGUAAAGCUCUUUUGGCAGGGACGAUAAUGACUGUACCUGCAGAAUAAGCCCCGGCCAACUUCGUGCCAGCAGCCGCCGUAAAAC
rnacentral:rRNA from 1 species